rnacentral:rRNA from 1 species
GGGAAUAAGGGUUCGAUUCCGGAGAGGGAGCCUGAGAAACGGCUACCACAUCCAAGGAAGGCAGCAGGCGCGCAAAUUACCCAAUCCCGACACGGGGAGGUAGUGACAAUAAAUAACAAUAUAGGGCCCUCUCGGGUCUUAUAAUUGGAAUGAGUACAAUUUAAAUCCCUUAACGAGGAACAAUUGGAGGGCAAGUCUGGUGCCAGCAGCCGCGGUAAUUCCAGCUCCAAUAGCGUAUAUUAA